AACGUAGGAGACAAACGUUAUCCGGAGUUACUGCGCGUAAAGGGCGUGCAGGUGGUCUGUUAAGUCUGGCGUGAAAGCUCCUGGCUAAACCGGGAGAGGUCGUUGGAUACUGGCGGACUAGAGGACGGUAGAGGCGUGUGGAAUUCCGGGUGUAGUGGUGAAAUGCGUAGAGAUCCGGAGGAACACCAGUGGCGAAGGCGACACGCUGGGCCGUACCUGACACUGAUACGCGACAGCAUGGGGAGCGAACGGG
rnacentral:rRNA from 1 species